rnacentral:rRNA from 1 species
AUGUCCAAUGAUCGCCUGGACUCAUGGACAAAGGGAAGCAACCCCUGUGACUGGGAUGGCGUUGCAUGUAGCAACAACGUGCUGCCUCGUGGCCGUGACCAGGGUGAUGCUGCCCUAGUUGUGUCCAACAUUUCGCUUGCGGGGUUUGCCCCUGUUGGCAUGUUAGACAGGCUUCACUUUUCAGAUUUGCCCCAUCUUGUGUAUCUGGACCUUAGUGGCAACAUUCUCCAGGGCUCAAUCCCAUCAAACAUUGGUGCUCUUGCCCAGCUCACUCACUUGGAUCUAUGUUGCAGCAUUCUCCGGGGCUCAAUCCCAUCUAGCAUUGGUGCUCUUUCCCAGCUCACUCACUUGGAUCUAUCCAACAAUGAACUGAAUGGAUCUAUCCCAACAUCCCUAGAUUUGCCUCAUCUUGUCUAUUUGAACCUUGGUAACAACCACCUCUCGGGCGGAAUCCCUUCAAGCAUUGGGGCUCUUGCGGAGCUCACAUACUUGGAUCUGUCCAUCAACGACCAGAACGGAUCUAUCCCACCUUUCAUAGGCAAUUAUUUGCCUCAUCUUGUCUAUUUGAACCUUGGUGAUAACCACGUCUCGGGCGAAAUCCCUUCAAGCAUUGGGGCUCUUGCGGACCUCGCAUACUUGGAUAUGUCCGUCAAUGACCUGAACGGAUCUAUCCCACCUUCCAUAGGCAAUUGUACAAAACUAUCUUCCCUCGAUCUCUCUUACUACAAUUUGUUUCUACCAUGCCUAGUAAAGUAG